GUCUAUGGCCAUGGGACCCUGGACAAGCCCAGUCCCAUCUGAUCUUGGAAGCUAAGCAGGGUCGGGCCUGGUUAGUAGUUGGAUGGGAGACCACCUAGGAAGACCAAGUGCUGUAGGCA
rnacentral:rRNA from 1 species